CCCUUAGAUGUUCUGGGCCGCACGCGCGCUACACUGAUGCAUUCAACGAGUCUAAAACCUGCUCUGAUAGGGGUGGGUAAUCUUUUGAAUGUGCAUCGUGAUUGGGAUAGAUGAUUGCAAUUUUUCAUCUUCAACGAGGAAUGCCUAGUAAACGCAAGUCACCAGCUUGCAUUGAUUACGUCCCUGCCCUUUGUACACACCGCCCGUCGCUCCUACCGAUUGAAUGAUCCGAUGAAUAUCAUGGAUUGAGGAUGCAAGUAGGUUAGCCUAUCUUCAUCUUCGAGAAGUGAAGUAAAUCUUAUCAUUUAGAGGAAGGAGAAGUCGUAACA
rnacentral:rRNA from 1 species